rnacentral:misc_RNA from 1 species
AUUAUGGCAUUUAAUCCAGUGUGGAAGUGUAUAUAGUCCGAUAUUAGGCAUGACGUCAUGAAGACGAGAACUCUUUUUUGUCUUAUUGCCAUUGUUUUAUUGUUGGCGUUGAUAGAAGCAAGAGGGGGAAGGGGUGGUGGAAGGGGUGGUGGAAGGGGCGGAGGAAGGGGCGGAGGACGAUCAUCCAGAUCCCGCUCAGGAUCUCGGUCAUCAAGGUCUGGAUCCAGAUUUUCAAAAUUUUCUGGAUAUAGAAUUUCUUCCAAACGACAACUUCGAGCUGCGAUUUUGUCAGGAACAGUGUAUGGUGCGAGGGGAUGGAAGAGUAGAUACAGCCACUGGGAUAACAGGAAGUUGCCCGAGGUGUGUUACAAUGAUAAAUACAAUAUGACUCAGGAUGGCAACUCCACUUACCUGGGGCGCUUCCUCUGCCCCACGGACAGGAGUAUGAGGGGUGACAAGACUUACUGUUGCGGAAGGACGGGGGAGCAGUACUGCUGUACUUUCUGGGAAGAUGGAGGUCGCGUGGCGGGCGUAGUUAUUGGUCUCCUUGUUCUCGUGGGAAUUGUCAGCAUCACCGUCUACUAUUGUAUCAAGAAAAGUAUCAGGAAUAGGUGGAACCGAGAUUUCUUCCGCACCCCUUCAAAGGACCACCAACAAAUGCCUCCAGACGACCAGGACCAGAAUGCACCACUGCGGACACACCACCAGGAUUCUAAACCUGUUCCAAUGGUAGGGUCACCGAUGGGAGAUGCUCUUUACACUGCUUCUCAGAUUGACAUAUAUCCCUCUUGCCCCCCUCCGCCCUAUGAACUCGCCUGUAAAUCCUCUGGAGAUCUACCAUAUGACCCAAAUCGAAGCAUUGAGAAACCUCCAAGGCCGUCUAAAGGAUUCUAAUGGAUUUCUGCACUAUUCAACAGCCCCACUCCUCAAUGUACCACAGUUUGGGAACACACCUUACUCUACAAUCCUACAAGUUACUCACCCAUUCGAAACAUGCCCUAUUUAGCAAAUAAAGUCCCUUACCCUAUCCAAUAAGAUAUGUGCCACAGUGUGAUGCAGUCACUGCAGUUUUAUAUGGUCAACAGGCAGACAUUUGAUACAAUAAACUUGAAACAUGUAUUUUUACUCAUCUUAGUUUUUUGUAUUUUUGAAAUUUUAGAAGAUUUCUAGUCUUCUCAUGAUUUGAAAAUUGUGAAAUUGACAAAUUAAAUAUAAUUUGACUUAUUAAUAAAUUCCGUCAUCA